UCUGGUAUAGUGGUUAGUGAUGCUGACUGCUAUGCUGUAGGACCUGGGUUUGAAUCCCAGAGAA